GGAGCACCUCGUUAGGCGAGGCUUCUGGACGAACAUAGGCCACUGAUCUGACGACGUCGAGAGACGCCCAAGAUCAGGACAGAUCUCCCCGGCUUAAGGGUGGUCCCAAGUGGCUUUCCGGCGCUGCGGGGAUACGUCGGCCAGUGCCAAAGCUCAACGUGUGAGGGCGAUG
rnacentral:sRNA from 2 species